UACGAAGGGGGCUAGCGUUGCUCGGAAUCACUGGGCGUAAAGGGUGUGUAGGCGGUUGUUUAAGUUUGGUGUGAAAUCUCCCGGCUCAACUGGGAGGGUGCGCCGAAUACUGAAUGACUUGGAGUGCGGGAGAGGAGAGUGGAAUUCCUGGUGUAGCGGUGAAAUGCGCAGAUAUCAGGAGGAACACCGGUGGCGAAGGCGGAUCUCUGGGCCAUAACUGACGCUGAGGAGCGAAAGCAUGGGGAGCGAACAGG
rnacentral:rRNA from 1 species